GAUGAACGCUGGCGGCGUGCCUAAUACAUGCAAGUCGAGCGAACAGACGAGGAGCUUGCUCCUCUGACGUUAGCGGCGGACGGGUGAGUAACACGUGGAUAACCUACCUAUAAGACUGGGAUAACUUCGGGAAACCGGAGCUAAUACCGGAUAAUAUAUUGAACCGCAUGGUUCAAUAGUGAAAGACGGUUUUGCUGUCACUUAUAGAUGUAUCCGCGCCGCAUUAGCUAGUUGGUAAGGUAACGGCUUACCAAGGCAACGAUGCGUAGCCGACCUGAGAGGGUGAUCGGCCACACUGGAACUGAGACACGGUCCAGACUCCUACGGGAGGCAGCAGUAGGGAAUCUUCCGCAAUGGGCGAAAGCCUGACGGAGCAACGCCGCGUGAGUGAUGAAGGUCUUCGGAUCGUAAAACGCUGUUAUUAGGGAAGAACAAAUGUGUAAGUAACUAUGCACGUCUUGACGGUACCUAAUCAGAAAGCCACGGCUAACUACGUG
rnacentral:rRNA from 1 species